CCUACGGGAGGCAGCAGUGAGGAAUAUUGGUCAAUGGUCGGAAGGCUGAACCAGCCAAGCCGCGUGAAGGAGGAAGGUGCAGAGAAUGGUAAACUUCUUUUGUCAGGGGACAAAAUCAGGCACGAGUGCACGGCUGAGGGUACCUGAAGAAAAAGCAUCGGCUAACUCCGUGCCAGCAGCCGCGGUAAUACGGAGGAUGCGAGCGUUAUCCGGAUUUAUUGGGUUAAAAGGGUGCGUAGGCGGGCCGUUAAGUCAGCGGUAAAAGCCCGGGGCUCACCCCCGGCGCGCCGUUGAAACUGGGUGUCUUGAGUUGUGGAGAGGUAUGCGGAAUGCGCCGUGUAGCGGUGAAAUGCAUAGAUAUUGCGCAGAACUCCGAUUGCGAAGGCAGCAUGCCGGAGGGGAUCUGACGCUGAGGCACGAAAGCGUGGGUAUCGAACAGGAUUAGAUACCCUUGUAGUC
rnacentral:rRNA from 1 species